UCUCGCAUGGUGGAGUUGGAAGCCGGCCAAAAAGUGAAAGAUCUGGAGGAGGCUCUGUCUACAGAGAGGGAGCGGACCCAGAACAAGGAGGAGAGGUCUUUUUACAGCUUUAGAACAUACCACAACGUUUGCUCUCAUAGCAAUUAAUGUCUCCACGUUUGUCCCCAGGGUACGCCAAACCAUGUCGGCCAGCAAAAAGAGGAAACGUCCGAAGGUCAGAGGCAGCAGGUCACUGUGGAUGAGCAGCAGGUCACUCUGGAUGAGGUGGACUCGUACGGCAAAUAUGUCAGACUUCGCAAUACAGUUGAUGAGGAUCAGAAUUUGGGGAACUGGCAGGUGAAGCUCCAGAUUGGAUCUUCUGCUCCCAUCGUAUUCAAGUUUGCCGCAGAAUUCAUCCUGAAGGCCCACGAGAGUGUCACGAUCUGGGCGGCUGACGCUGGCCGAAACCACAAUCCUCCCUCUGAUCUAGUCUGGGAGACACAGUCCAACUGGGGACCCGUAGGCCAGGUCCACUUUACCUUGAUCAACGCCAACGGAGAGGAAAUAAGGAUGAGCAAAGCCACUGGCGCACGUUUGGAAGAUGAUGAUGGAAAUUCCACUUCCACCGUGGGAUAGAGGAAAUGGAAUUUCGGUUUCUUGUGUGUCUUGACAUAUGAAGGGAUUGACAAUAAAGCAGACUUUGACUUUUGACAUGGUCACAUUAUAAAAAUAUUGUAUAACAAUACAAUUGAAUGGGCUUUUUUUUAAUAAAAUCUGCUCCGAC